UCGAACACAUUGUUCUCCUGAGGAGGCAGCACUCUACUGAAAAGGACAAGGCAGCAGGAGAGAUGCUUGAUAGACAAGGCUUGAUGAGGAAGGAUGGGCUCCGGCUCCUCCGAGACAGAGCGCAGGGAGUCGGUGGGGACACAGCUCCUCUGUUCUGCCGGGGAGGCAAGGCGGGAAUAAUUGGUGCUGAGAGCUCUAAGUUUAUAGGCGGUGGGAGGAAGUUCACAGAGUUCCUGCCUGACAACCUCCAUUUGUCUGAAGGAGGAGUGCCAGUUAAGAGAUGAUCACAAAAGGUCUCAAGAACCUGAGCGGAUGAGUUUGGGAACAGAGCGGGGAACUCGGGUGAUGCUGUCAUCACUUGAUCCAAGUUUAAGAUCAUAGCAGGUGUUGCGAGGAUGGAGAGCAAGCACCAUCCUCAGACACCGCUGAUGGGGAUGCAGAAGGGGACCAACACUUUGGGCAAUGAUCGGGUGGUUUCUUAAGAGGUGAGGUAGUCUCACACCACACAAUCAAAUUGUUCUGCUGAUCUUUGUUGUAGAGAAAUAAAGGAGUGCGUCCAUAUAAAGACAUUCAUGCGAAUGUUCACAAUGGCUGGGUUUGUAAGAGUAAAGAAUUGGAAAUUACUCAACUAUGCAUCAACAAUGUUACGUAUUUUGAGAGACAGAGGUUUGCCAAAGGAGUCAUGACCACUGUCCUCGGGUUUGAACUUGGUCCUCACGCUCGCAAGCCAGGUCAAGCCAGGGCAAAGGCUGCUGUAAGAACUGAAUGGGCUGGCAGAGCCGGAACGGGGCUCGGCCCAAGGCAGCGCCGCAUCUGCCUUUGCUGCUCCUGUGAUACAGCUGAUCGCAAGCAGUCGGUACAACGGCAGCAUUUCACAGAGUCUGGGUGUUAUAGCUUGAGGCCCGUUCUGAUCGUCAGGUGCCCUCCAUUGUACUCCAGCUAUCUUUGCACUGAGGAGGUUCACCAGGACCAAGACUCUCAACAUUCAGACCCACCUGAAGCUUUCUAAGAAGAUGUUACAGCAAAUCCCUUGUAGAUAAGGAAGGACGUGAUUUCUGUUAGCCGGUGAUUGAUACCCUAGGGAAUCAUGCUUGCCCUUCAAGGACUGUGUGACUUCAGAUGAUGGUCCAAUAUCCUAUCCAUGAUGGGGUGGUACAAGAGAUGCUGUGUUAUCCAGCGCUGGCUUCCUCCUCAGGAUCUCAGAUGUCCUUUGCGCCAACAUCUCAGGAGGAGGCCCAUCAUUUCCAGAGUCUGUUUCGUCUUCUGGCUUUGGUGGAGGCAGAGAUGCUCUGAGGUGUGGUGAAUUCCACGCUCUUGACGGUUUUCUUCUUCCCUGUCUCCUACCACAAGGAAGCAAGGGCAGAGAGAAGUAAUCUGCUCUUGCCAGCAACUCUGUCCACGUACGCAACAGCUCCACGUGGUCCCUAGAAUAAGCCAAAUACCUUAGCAUGGCCAGACACUUACGAUCUGACCCUGCCAACCUCUUCAGCUGUCUCCUCUGUCUCACCAUGCCAGGUGACCCACAUUGAAUGCACUACCUUUCAUCCACCUGCACGGCUUUGUGUGCGUUCAGUUUCACCUGCUGCCUCAUCAUUUUUUUCUUCAAUUCCUCCACUCUUCCCAAUAGGUGCCUCAUCAAGGUCUCAUCUCCUACCUUCCUCCCUCAUACUUGGGGUUCAGCUCCCCUAUCCCCUACCCUAGAUCAGGUUAGGUCUCUGUGAAGUGUUCCUCUAAGUGCCCUGAGCAUCCUCGUCAUUUAUGAUCAUCAUUUCUCUAAUUUUUUUUCUCCUUGAUAGACUGUUCACUUUAAGGGACCCUGUCUGCCUUGUUACCACUACAUCUGAAAGGUUUUAACAAGCCUUAUAUAUAAAAAGUAUCCAAGAUGCACAUGUCAAAUGAGAACUAAAGAUCCCACCUCCACCCAAAUCCUACCCUGCCUUAUGCUGCUCCCCACCACCCAGUAUGACUAAAUUACAUCCCUCUAAUGAAAGUCUGGAUUAGCAGGGCCAGGGAGAGUGAAGAAACCCAUCAGAAAGCCUGAGAAACCCACCAAUACUGCAGGUUCUACUAGUUGAACAGAUAGAGACCAGAGACCUAGCAAGAUGCCCGGGAAACUGUCUACAUGAAGGACCCACCACAGCCACACUCCUUCUAUCUUCAAAGCAGCUUCCAUGGCUGCAGAAAAAUUAUUUUUCCUAUUGGAAUGAACUAAGAGGCACCACAUUGAUUUUUAAAAUGGUACUGUAAUUUGGAAUUCAAUUAGCUUUGCCUAAAACAAAAAAGGAAUAUGUCUCUAUCCAAAUGGUAGUGAUUUAAAAUAUUGUUUUGACCAAAGAGUAUCACCCAUGACAGGGGAAGUCAUCUUAUCCCUUUCUGCUCUCAUGUCCACCAAGCUAAGCAGUGAGCAAUUGCAUACUAAUGGUCACCCCAGUGAAUUUUUGUGCAGCAUUAAUUAGUUGCCUCUCUGUCUCUUCAUGGAUGUUUGCAUUAUAGUAUCCUGUCCUCCUCUCCCAGAAGUUGGUCACAAACCCAGGCUGGUCCAACAAGAUAUUCUCCCUCAAGACCCCAGCCUUGAGUACCAUGGCCACACUGUGGAAACUGCAGGUAUUCACUCCAGGAAACAGGGUCAAGAGAAAAGGGUUGGGUCCAUGCUGCCUUCAUGCCCAGACCCAUCAUGGUUCCCCUGCUCACAGCCCCCUAAAGUGCCCUCAUCUCCCUAGUCAUUAUGCAAAUUUUCGACAUUCCUCCUGUAGAGAAGCUUCAUGAAUAAGGUAGACAAAUGGUUCCUGUGGCUUGCAUAGAAUCACGGCACAGCCUCAGACUCAUAUGUGAAGAUGUUUUGAAGUCCCGUGCUGCCUCUUCAGUCAUUGCGCAUUGUGAAAUUUAAAAUGAAAGUCACAAAACCAGGCUUGGAAUGUAGCUCAGUGGCAAAGUGCCUGCCAAUGUUCGUAGAGUACUGUGUUCCAUCCUGACGUACAGAGAGAGAGAGACAGACAAACAGACAGACACAGAGACACAGAGACAGAAUUAUGUUGAUAUUUUAUUUGUGCUGAAAUGUGAUUUUAUUUGUAUGUUAAUAAAUAAAGUUGCCUGGGGGUCAGAGCUAAGAGCAAGCCAUUUAGCAGAAGUCUGGCAAUGGUAGCACACGCCCUUAAUCCGAUCACAUGGCAAGCAGAGUCUGUGUGUUCAAGGACAUAGCCAGCUUGGAGACACACGCCUUUAAUCUCAAUACCAACCAUGGAGACCUGGAGGUCUGUAUAGACAGGCAGUGAUGAGGAGAUCAUGUUGUUGGGUUUACAACAAAUGCGAAGGCAGAACAGAAAGUCAAUAAAAGUACAGACACACAGGAAGUAGGUCUCUUUCUCAGGGGAAGGACGGCAGUGGCAGGGGUGGUAAGAAGGUGGUCUCAGCUCUUGGCUACUGCUCUCUGAUCUCUGGGGCUUUUAACUCUG